UACGGGGGGUGCAAGCGUUAAUCGGAAUUACUGGGCGUAAAGCGUGCGUAGACGGUCAUACAAGUCGGGUGUGAAAUCCCCGGGCUCAACCUGGGAAUUGCAUUCGAGACUGUAUGGCUAGGGUGCGGAAGAGGGAAGUGGAAUUUCCGGUGUAGCGGUGAAAUGCGUAGAUAUCGGAAGGAACACCAGUGGCGAAAGCGACUUCCUGGUCCGACACCGACGUUCAGGCACGAAAGCGUGGGGAGCAAACAGG
rnacentral:rRNA from 1 species